GAAACUCAAAGGAAUUGACGGGGACCCGCACAAGCGGUGGAGCAUGUGGUUUAAUUCGAAGCAACGCGAAGAACCUUACCAAAUCUUGACAUCCUUUUGACCGCUCUAGAGAUAGAGUUUUCCCCUUCGGGGGACAAAGUGACAGGUGGUGCAUGGUUGUCGUCAGCUCGUGUCGUGAGAUGUUGGGUUAAGUCCCGCAACGAGCGCAACCCUUAAGCUUAGUUGCCAUCAUUAAGUUGGGCACUCUAAGUUGACUGCCGGUGACAAACCGGAGGAAGGUGGGGAUGACGUCAAAUCAUCAUGCCCCUUAUGAUUUGGGCUACACACGUGCUACAAUGGACAAUACAAAGGGCAGCUAAACCGCGAGGUCAAGCAAAUCCCAUAAAGUUGUUCUCAGUUCGGAUUGUAGUCUGCAACUCGACUACAUGAAGCUGGAAUCGCUAGUAAUCGUAGAUCAGCAUGCUACGGUGAAUACGUUCCCGGGCCUUGUACACACCGCCCGUCACACCAUGGGAGUUGGUUUUACCCGAAGGUAGUGCGCUAACCGCAAGGAGGCAGCUAACCACGGUAGGGUCAGCGACUGGGGUGAAGUCGUAACAAGGUAACCGUAAAGGGCGAAUUUCGCGGCCG
rnacentral:rRNA from 1 species